rnacentral:rRNA from 1 species
GGGACAUGGGGGUGGAGUUUUUGGUUGCAGGCACUGCCGCGUGUGUGAAGAAGGCCUUCUUGGUUGUAAAGCACUUUAAGAGAGGAGGAGGCGCUCUUAGUUAUACCCUUGAUGCGUGACGUUUACUCGCAAAAAGCAACCGCUAAAUUGUGCCAGCAGCCGCGGUAAUU